rnacentral:lncRNA from 1 species
CAAAUAUUUCGGCACAAUGCGAGAACAAACCCAGAAUUGUUCGUUUAUGAAAAGUGGCUAAGUGAGUGUCCAAAUUAAAUAUGAUUAAAUUCAACACAAGUAGGUCAUGUCUCAGUACCUGGCAAUAAAACGCGGCACCUACCACUCGCUGUA